UACAGAGGUCCCAAGCGUUGUUCGGAUUCACUGGGCGUAAAGGGUGCGUAGGUGGUCGGGUAAGUCUGAUGUGAAAUCUCCGAGCUUAACUCGGAAACUGCAUCGGAUACUAUUCGGCUCGAGGGUUGGAGGGGGGACUGGAAUGCUUGGUGUAGCAGUGAAAUGCGUAGAUAUCAAGCGGAACACCAGUGGCGAAGGCGGCUCACUGGCCCGAUACUGACGCUGAGGCACGAAAGCGUGGGGAGCAAACAGG
rnacentral:rRNA from 1 species